rnacentral:lncRNA from 1 species
AUGAGCCCUCCUGCCGACUCCCCCCUCCGUCGCAGGAUGCGGGAAUGCUCACCCCGGCGAGCCCCCCACCCCUGCCCGGGAGCACCGCGGCUUCCCUUCUGGGGCAGGGGCCAGGCUGGGAAUGUAUCCUGCGGUCAGAGCAAGCCGGGGUCCCGGGGACGGGAUGCCGGGGUGCAGGGGGGCGGGGAGGCGGAGGCGGAGGCGCCGUGUUUCCGGGCAGGUCUGAUCUGGGGGCUGGGCUUCCCUGCAGAAACGCCCAGAGCGGGCUCCGUGAUGUUCCUUUCCUCCCCGCGCCAUGGGGCUCCACAACCACCACCUGCCCCGCCAAUCGCCGCGCACCACAGCAGGGAAAGGAGAGGCGGUCAGCAGGGUGGGAAGAAUCUAAGAGCGUUCGGGAUGCUCCUGGCUGGCGCCCCUCCUUCCUCUGCCUGCGAGCGAGCAGCCACGCUGAAUGACUGGGAGCCGUCACACCAUAGCUUGAAAUGCCGGAGUGGCUGUGAUGAUGACGACAUAGGACACAGACAUGGUCAUAGCACACAAAAUGGGGCUGCGUUGGAGACAGAGGCGAGCCCGUCCCCUGGGAAAUGCGUUCUUCCUUUCCUCUCUGCUCCCUGGAAGCGACGGGCUAGUCAGGAAGGACCGUCCUUCAAGUGUGGAACUUUCCGGAAUGUUUUCUCUGCAUUGAGGAGAGUCCUCGGACAGGUGACCGACACAGGUCCUCAGGAAGCCCCUCGUCCCCGGGGAAGCGUCAGCGUGCUCGGACGGAGUCUGGUGUGGACCACGUACCCCGACCCCAUUCAGAUAGCCGUGACCCCAGCACCUCAGGAUGUGGAGAGAGGGUCUUUGAGGAGGUGAUUAAGGUUACACGAGGUCACUAGGGUCGCCCUAAUCCCGGACGACUGCAGUCCUUACGGAAAGCAGAGAUGUGGACACACACACAGGGGGAAGACCCAGUGAGGACACGGGGAGAAGGUGGCCGUCGGUGAGGCCGGGACAGAGGCCUGGGAAGGAACCACCGCUGCCCACGCCUGCAGCUCAGGUUCUAGCCCCCGGAAUGGGGGGAAAAAGAACUCUCUGGCGGUAAAGCCGCCCAGCCCGCCUGAGCGGACCAGCACCGAGUCUUUGGAAAAUGCGAAUGCAAGAUGGACCUCUGCAAGAUACCUCCCGGGUCCCUAAAAACACCUGCUCUGAUAGGAGGAGAAAGUUCCGGAAUGUGUGUGCUACCGCCCGCGCCGAGAUGUUUUCAUGCUCCAAGCCCCCUGCCCACCGCACUCCCCCUCAAAGAGGUGCUCUUUUAAAAAUGUAUUUACACAACAGAUCGACACUUAAAUACGUGUUUAAAGAGCAAUUAUGACUAUGUUCACCUGUCAGAACGGCAUGGUUUCGCUCAUGUGUUUUCCAGUUGGUUGGAUAAAUAAUCAGCUUGGGUGUUGUUUUUUUUUUUUUAAGCCUACCAUCUAUGUAAUUAUGUAUUUACCUCUAUGAUAAUAUCACAUUGCUUUCAGAUCUAGCUACGAAUGGGGGUGAAAUAUUCCAGUAAAAGAGAGGGGAACGAGCCUCGUGCCUGCCCACCCCUCCCCCAUUGUAAAUCUGCCCCGCCCCUUCCCGGGGGGCGUGGCCAUUGACGCCCCGCCUCCUGCAGCUUUUCCUAUCCGCGACCCACGUGCUGAGAGGGCCUCCCAGUGUGGGGACCAGCGCGUGUGGCCCUGCCACCCAUGUGGUCACCCAUGUGCGGGAGGUGCUAGCUCCCGGGGACCUGGGUGGCAGAGGGCGCGGAGUCCUGCACAAUCACGCGGCCUCUGUCGGUCUCACAGCCCCCCCUCCUUUGCUCCCAGAACCUUCGGUGAUGAUGCCC